rnacentral:rRNA from 1 species
UACAGAGGGUGCAAGCGUUAAUCGGAUUUACUGGGCGUAAAGGGCGUGUAGGCGGAGUCAUAAGUCGGACGUGAAAUUCCUGGGCUUAACCUGGGACUGUCGUCUGAGACUGUGAUUCUAGAGAGGAGUAGAGGGUAGUAGAAUUUCCGGUGUAGCGGUGAAAUGCGUAGAUAUCGGAAAGAAUACCGGUGGCGAAGGCGGCUACCUGGACUCCAUCUGACGCUGAGGCGCGAAAGCGUGGGGAGCGAACAGG